rnacentral:rRNA from 1 species
GAUGAACGCUGGCGGCGUGCCUAAUACAUGCAAGUCGAGCGAACAGACGAGGAGCUUGCUCCUCUGACGUUAGCGGCGGACGGGUGAGUAACACGUGGAUAACCUACCUAUAAGACUGGGAUAACUUCGGGAAACCGGAGCUAAUACCGGAUAAUAUAUUGAACCGCAUGGUUCAAUAGUGAAAGACGGUUUUGCUGUCACUUAUAGAUGGAUCCGCGCAGCAUUAGCUAGUCGGUAAGGUAACGGCUUACCAAGGCAACGAUGCGUAGCCGACCUGAGCGGGUGAUCGGCCACCCUGGAUCUGAGACACGUUCCAGACUCCUACGGGAGGCAGCAGUAGGGAAUCUUCCGCAAUGGGCGAAAGCCUGACGGAGCAACGCCGCGUGAGUGAUGAAGGUCUUCGGAUCGUAAAACUCUGUUAUUAGGGAAGAACAAAUGUGUAAGUAACUAUGCACGUCUUGACGGUACCUAAUCAGAAAGCCACGGCUAACUACGUG